rnacentral:rRNA from 1 species
AUUGAACGCUGGCGGCAUGCUUUACACAUGCAAGUCGAACGGUAACAGGCCUUCGGGUGCUGACGAGUGGCGAACGGGUGAGUAAUGCAUCGGAACGUACCCAGAGGUGGGGGAUAACGCAGCGAAAGCUGUGCUAAUACCGCAUGUGAUCUGAGGAUGAAAGCGGGGGACCGAGCAGCAAUGUUUGGCCUCGCGCCUUUGGAGCGGCCGAUGUCGGAUUAGCUAGUUGGUGGGGUAAAGGCCUACCAAGGCGACGAUCCGUAGCUGGUCCGAGAGGACGACCAGCCACACUGGGACUGGGACACGGGCCAGACUCCUACGGGAGGCAGCAAUGGGGAAUUUUGGACAAUGGGGGCAAGCCUGAUCCAGCAAUGCCGCGUGCGGGAAGAAGGCCUUCGGGUUGUAAACCGCUUUUGGCAGGAACGAAACGGUGUCCGCUAAUACCGGGCGCUAAUGACGGUACCUGCAGAAUAAGCACCAGCUAACUACGUGC